CCAGAGAACUUAGCAGAGAUGCUUUGGUGCCUUCGGGAACUCUGAGACAGGUGCUGCAUGGCUGUCGUCAGCUCGUGUUGUGAAAUGUUGGUUAAGUCCCGCAACGAGCGCAACCCUUAUCCCUUUGUUGCCAGCGGUCCGGCCGGGAACUCAAAGGAGACUGCCAGUGAUAAACUGGAGGAAGGUGGGGAUGACGUCAAGUCAUCAUGGCCCUUACGAGUAGGGCUACACACGUGCUACAAUGGCGCAUACAAAGAGAAGCGACCUCGCGAGAGCAAGCGGACCUCAUAAAGUGCGUCGUAGUCCGGAUUGGAGUCUGCAACUCGACUCCAUGAAGUCGGAAUCGCUAGUAAUCGUAGAUCAGAAUGCUACGGUGAAUACGUUCCCGGGCCUUGUACACACCGCCCGUCACACCAUGGGAGUGGGUUGCAAAAGAAGUAGGUAGCUUAACCUUCGGGAGGGCGCUUACCACUUUGUGAUUCAUGACUGGGGUGAAGUCGUAACAAGGUAAGCGUACGUGU
rnacentral:rRNA from 1 species